CAAGCCGCUGGGUCGCCUGUGGCUUG
rfam:Gallibacterium salpingitidis strain F150 contig000060, whole genome shotgun sequence.